rnacentral:rRNA from 1 species
GACGAAGGAUGCAAGCGUUAUCCGGAUUCAUUGGGUUUAAAGGGUGCGUAGGCGGACUUGUAAGUCAGUGGUGAAAUCUCUUCGCUUAACGAAGAAACUGCCAUUGAUACUGCAGGUCUAGAGUAUAGAUGACGUUGGCGGAAUAUGACAUGUAGUGGUGAAAUACUUAGAUAUGUCAUAGAACACCGAUUUGCGAAAGGCAGCUAAACGAAAACUAUAAACUGACGCUGAGGCACGAAAAAGUGCGGGGGGAUCAAAACAGG